ensembl:miRNA
ACUUAGUCCGAGGCUAGAGUCACGCUCUGGUAUUGCUUGUUGCCUUAGUGUGCUAGAGUCCUCGAAGAAUAACUGCUGACCUUAUUCACUGGCU